UUCUAUGAUUGGUAUUCAAAAUUUAAAAGUACUUUCAAAACCACAUCCUUCUCAUUGGAAAUAUAAAAAUGGUGCUUUUAACUAACACAUUGCCAAAUUUGGUCUAGAAUAUCUCUAUUUAGUAUAUAUAAAAAUGAGUUAAUUUUAUAGAGCUUUCUAUAAAAUAUAUUGAAUGGCAAAUAUAUUUCUACAAUGUUUAUUUUUUUAUAUUUAUUCCUACAAAAGUUCAGCAAUAUUCAUAUUUGUCCCUCUAAUUUGUUAUCGUUAUAACACUAUUUAUUCUUUAACAGACAUGUUUGUCAUCACAAAUAUGUCUCUUUAAAAGUCCCAACUGUUAAAAUUAUCCAGAAAUGUACUUUUAAAAAUUCCAACCGGUCACCUUCUUCCUUUCUACCACCACGAAUAAUAUAAGAAGAAUAAAAAUGUCAAUUUAUUUCAAUCACUAACCAGAGUUAAGUACUUUACUUAUGUUUAACUAUAUUUUUCUAACGGAUUUCUCUUAUAUAUAUAUAUAUAUUUAAAAACGUUAGGAUUUUUAGAGGAAUAAAUAUGAAAAAUUAAACUUCGUAAUGAUAUAUUUACCAUUCAUUAUGUUUAUAAAAAGCUGUAUGCAAUUAACCCUUC
rnacentral:lncRNA from 1 species